ncrna:unclassified sequences Glutamine-II riboswitch (downstream peptide RNA)
AAUCGUCCGAUCUACCAUUUCAUUUGAUAGACCGCAGUAGGACUCAAGCCAUAGGACGGGGACUUGAG